rnacentral:rRNA from 1 species
UACGUAGGGUGCGAGCGUUAAUCGGAAUUACUGGGCGUAGAGCGUGCGCAGGCGGCGCGUUAAGACAGGUGUGAAAGCCCCGAGCUUAACUUGGGAAUUGCGCUUGUGACUGGCGAGCUGGAGUGUGGCAGAGGGAGGUGGAAUUCCACGUGUAGCAGUGAAAUGCGUAGAGAUGUGGAGGAACACCGAUGGCGAAGGCAGCCUCCUGGGCCAGCACUGACGCUCGUGCACGAAAGCGUGGGGAGCAAACAGG